GUGUACUGGUUAUCCACCAGUGUCUUUUCAGUCAUGGUUUGAAACUAUGCUUGUCAGUGUUUCCAAAUAUUUAAAAUUUAGAUUGUGGAUUACCACUGUAAUAGCUUUUUGCUGACAAGGCAUUGAAUGGUGUUAUCUGAGAGGUGAUGGUAUAACCUAUUCUUUCUCCUCCAGCUGUGUGCAGUACUACUACCUCUCACCUGCCUGCUUGUCUCCAGCAGCAGUGGUGAGCAGGAACAAGCAGUCUUGGAGCUGAUAGCUGCAGCCCCGUGGCGUGGGAGGAACAGCUGCCACCUGCACUGGGGCUCGUCUUCUGGUGCCUUUUCUCCUCGUACUUGCAUGUGUCACAUACUGAGGGUGUCAGCCCUUCAACUUCAUUGAUGUUGCCAUCCAAUAACUCUGCUGUCAUCACAAAAACUAUUAUCAGAACAUUUCCUUUAAAGCAGAAAAGGCACUUAGUCAACGUUAAGGCCCAUCAUCUGCAAAAUAUCAACGAACAAUCAAAAAGUACAAAAGAUCUGGAGAUCCAAAUGCUGCAGAUGGAGUGUGAAGAACUCAAAAAUCGGCUAGGAUGCUUAAGGGAAGGCCUGAUGGGGCAGAAGCUGAGCAACACAGAAGAGCUACUGAAACAAUCUCAGAAAGAACUGUUGUGCCUUCAGAGACAACUAUCACUUAUCUCCACAGGAAGCCCCAUGUGUGU
rnacentral:lncRNA from 1 species